CUGUCCUACGGGACGCAGCAGUGGGGAAUAUUGCACAAUGGGGGGAACCCUGAUGCAGCGACGCCGCGUGAGUGAAGAAGUAUGUCGGUAUGUAAAGGUCUGUCAGCAGGGAAGAAGAAAGACGGUACCUGACCAAGAAGCCCCGGCUAACUACGUGCCAGCAGCCGCGGUAAUACGUAGGGGGCAAGCGUUAUCCGGAUUUACUGGGUGUAAAGGGGGCGUAGACGGCAGGGCAAGUCUGGAGUGAAAGGCAGGGGCCCAACCCCUGGACUGCUCUGGAAACUGUCCGGCUGGAGUGCAGGAGG
rnacentral:rRNA from 1 species